GUGUCAGCAGCCGCGGUAAUACGUAGGGGGCAAGCGUUGUCCGGAAUUAUUGGGCGUAAAGAGCGUGUAGGCGGUUCGAUUAGUCUGCUGUAAAAGUCGAGGGCUCAACCCUCGAAAGCCGGUAGAUACUGUCGAGCUAGAGUACGGAAGAGGCGAGUGGAAUUCCUAGUGUAGCGGUGAAAUGCGCAGAUAUUAGGAGGAACACCAAUUGCGAAGGCAGCUCGCUGGGACGUUACUGACGCUGAGACGCGAAAGCGUGGGGAGCAAACAGGAUUAGAUACCCUGGUAGUCCACGCUGUAAACGAUGGGCACUAGGUGUGGGGGGUGUCGACUCCCCCCGUGCCGGAGUUAACGCAUUAAGUGCCCCGCCUGGGGAGUACGGCCGCAAGGCUAAA
rnacentral:rRNA from 1 species